GUACUAAUCUCUCUCUCUCUCUCUCUCUCUCUCAGUUUUUGCUCCGAGCUUUCUCCAUCUUCUCCACUUUGCCUUUCAUUGCUCUUAUCUUUCUGAUUUCGAACCACUCGAAAAACGCUUUCGUUGCUCUGUACUUGCUUUCUGUGUCCGAAGCAUACCGUGCUAGGCGCUCUCGCUUUGUUCUGUUCAAGGCGGUGUUCGUUGAUGGUCAUCUAAGUUUCUUCAUCAACCGGUGUUCGAAAUUCACUUUCGGCGGCUAUUAAUUUGUAGUCAGAAAUGGUUGCCUUUGGGAAAAAGCUGAAGGAAAGACAAAUUCGAGAAUGGCAGGGGUAUUACAUCAAUUAUAAACUUAUGAAAAAGAAAGUAAAACACUAUGGUCAACAAAUUCAAGAUGGAACACUAGACCGGAGGCAUGUCCUAAAGGACUUUUCAAGAAUGCUGGAUAAUCAG